rnacentral:rRNA from 1 species
AGACGUCUACAUUAGAUACCCGUGUAGUCCCAGCCGUAAACUAUGCGCGUUAGGUGUAUCGGUGACCACGGAGUCACCGAGGUGCCGAAGGGAAACCGUGAAACGUGCCGCCUGGGAAGUACGGUCGCAAGGCUGAAACUUAAAGGAAUUGGCGGGGAGCACCACAACGGGUGGAGCCUGCGGUUUAAUUGGACUCAACGCCGGGAAGCUCACCGGAUAAGACAGCGGAAUGAUUGCCGGGCUGAAGACUCUGCAUGACUAGCUG